UUAUACUCUGCUGAGAACGCCUCUCAUCUCGUCUGGACCAACCAAGGCAGAGCUGGGGUGGUGCUUCAUCCUAAGGAUUUACAGCUGUAAAGAUUUGAUCGUUCUCUCCUAAAGGCUGCGGGCCCUUUAAGCUGAUUCGUUUGGAAGGCUGAGUAAAGGGAGAGUCUGUUCGGAGUAAGCUACUUUCUCCUUUUUUGAGAGCAAAGGACUGGAAGAUAAAAUCAUGACACCCACUCUCGGUUGUCCCAUCUUUAACGACUGCUGAUCCACAGGGAUGUUCUCCAAUUCUACACCCUGAGCAAGAGGAAACAAAUAAGAAUAGUGGUCCAGUUGAACUCAUGCAUAUCACAUCUCCAAAUGUCAGUAUCUUCUGCAUGGUGCAUGGACGGAAGGCUGUUUGCACCCACAUUGUCGAUGCUGGGCAAACAGUUACUCUGGCUGUCCAUCGUAUAUGCAAUGCAGAGAUGAGAUGCAGCUGGUUCGCACAAACCAGUAGCGGCGAUCGCAGGUGGACCCACCCCAGCUCCAUAUUGUGCUACUUAGGCACGUUUUUGUGGCUGGGUGCGUGAGCGGAAGGCGCGUGAGCGAGCAAAGCACAUCCGCGGAAGGCCAGGCACAUGUGGACAGCACGCGUGCAGUGAACCAGUAGUAAGGUAGUCCUCGACUUAACAACCACAGUUGGGGCUGGAACCUUCGUUGUUAAGCAAUGGAGUCAUUAAGUGGCAGCACAAAGCUGAUUUUCUUUGGAUUUGGGAACUAAGCAGGGUUGGGAGAGGUUAGCAUUUGGAUCAGGAACCAAAAGGAAAUCCCAGAUUUAGGAAGUGGAAAAAAAUUAAUUCUGAACAUUCAUUGCCAAGAAAAAAAUAAAUCGGAGGACAUUUCAAUGAAGUCUCCCUGAGUGAAGCGCGACUUGAGGAAGACUCUAACUUUUUAUUCCUUUCCACCAAAUGGGAGUAUUGGAACUCCUGAGUGUGUCUUUCAAUCAGCAAGAUAACUGUCCAAAAGUUGAACAGAAUGAUGGGACUAAACUUCUGGGAGAAAAGAAAUUCAGAUUAGAAAUCAUUCAGUGCAUCUCUAUGGGAGGUAAUUUGCAAGCCACUGCAUUCCAAAUACCCUUCUUUUUCCCCAUUUGAUCUAGAGUGCAGAUACAUUCCACAGGCCUUCCUUCCCUCCCUCCCUCC